rnacentral:rRNA from 1 species
GUGGGGAAUUUUGGACAAUGGGCGCAAGCCUGAUCCAGCAAUGCCGCGUGCAGGAAGAAGGCCUUCGGGUUGUAAACUGCUUUUGUACGGAACGAAACGGUCCGGGUUAAUACCCUGGGCUAAUGACGGUACCGUAAGAAUAAGCACCGGCUAACUACGUGCCAGCAGCCGCGGUAAUACGUAGGGUGCAAGCGUUAAUCGGAAUUACUGGGCGUAAAGCGUGCGCAGGCGGUUUUGUAAGACAGGCGUGAAAUCCCCGGGCUCAACCUGGGAAUUGCGCUUGUGACUGCAAGGCUGUAGUGCGGCAGAGGGGGAUGGAAUUCCGCGUGUAGCAGUGAAAUGCGUAGAUAUGCGGAGGAACACCGCUGGCGAAGGCAAUCCCCUGGUCCUGCACUGACGCUCAUGCACGAAAGCGUGCGGAGCAAACAGGAUUAGAAACCCUGGUAGUCC